rnacentral:rRNA from 1 species
UACGGGGGGGGCAAGCGUUUGUUCGGAAUUACUGGGCGUAAAGGCUCGUAGGCGGCCAACUAAGUCGGAUGUGAAAUCCCCAGGCUUAACCUGGGAACUGCAUCCGAUACUGGAUGGCUUGAAUCCGGGAGAGGGAUGCAGAAUUCCAGGUGUAGCGGUGAAAUGCGUAGAUAUCUGGAGGAAUACCGGUGGCGAAGGCGGCAUCCUGGACCGGCAUUGACGCUGAGUGAGCGAAAGCCAGGGGAGCAAACGGG